rnacentral:lncRNA from 10 species
CGGUUAGGGCCUCGCCGUCCUGCUUCCACCCCUCAGGGAGGCCUCCGUGAUUCGGCCUCAGCCUCCGUCGCUCUGUGACCUGUGGGUAUUGGAUGAUUCCUAGCUGAGACUCUGCUACACCCCUGAAGUGGGGAAAUGACUAUUUAAUCAGCUGGCAGAUCAACAGGCCAAAAUUUCCACCACAACUGCAAACUUGAAUGUGGAUGAAUGGAUUACAUGUUCAAGCCUGGUAAUGAGAGGCAUUAUAAUGGAAUAACCUAUCUACUAAUGGUCAGCACAUGUGUCUUUGUAUCUGAGGCCAAGGAUAAAUUCAUCAACUGGGUAGCCACCACUAUAGAAGAAGCCAACCACAAUCAAUGUCGGCUAUGCGUCCAGCUGCCAGAGGCCGCCAGGAAUGAGCUACCUUGAAGAAUCGUCCGUGACAACAUUUCUGAAUGGCUAUGUCACUAUCAAUGGGGCCACAACAACAACACUUGCAAUCCAACCUGAACUUCCUAUGACCAAACCAAGCAAUCUAUUUAUGCCCAAGUCAAGUGAAAGGUGAACUCCACCUUCACCAUGCAUCAAAAGCCUUGGUAUCCUGCCCAAUAUGCCUGGAACGGUAUAUAUUGGGAACCUGCUGUGCUGGUGGCCGGAUUCCAUAUAGCUCCCCACCCACCCGCCACUUUGUCUGGAGGCCUUAAAUGGCUCCUCUAAUGUUCCUCUGGGUUUCUCCCACCAGACAACUGUCAACACAUACUCCAAAUCAACAGC